rnacentral:misc_RNA from 1 species
CCGAGUGAGGGCCUCCGGGCCCGACCUCCAACCCCAUGUUAUCCGACCCUGUUGCCUCGGGGGCGACCCGGCCUUCAGGCGCCGGGGCCCCCGUGGACCCUCAACACUGCAUCGUGACGUCUGAGUCUAAGAUUUUGAAUCAAUCA